AUUGAACGCUGGCGGCAGGCCUAACACAUGCAAGUCGAGCGGAUGAAGGGAGCUUGCUCCUGGAUUCAGCGGCGGACGGGUGAGUAAUGCCUAGGAAUCUGCCUGGUAGUGGGGGAUAACGUCCGGAAACGGGCGCUAAUACCGCAUACGUCCUGAGGGAGAAAGUGGGGGAUCUUCGGACCUCACGCUAUCAGAUGAGCCUAGGUCGGAUUAGCUAGUUGGUGGGGUAAAGGCCUACCAAGGCGACGAUCCGUAACUGGUCUGAGAGGAUGAUCAGUCACACUGGAACUGAGACACGGUCCAGACUCCUACGGGAGGCAGCAGUGGGGAAUAUUGGACAAUGGGCGAAAGCAUGAUCCAGCCAUGCCGAGUGUGUGAAGAAGGUCUUCGGAUUGUAAAGCACGUUAAGUUGGGAGGAAGGGCAGUAAGUUAAUACCUUGCUGUUUUGACGUUACCAACAGAAUAAGCACCGGCUAACUUCGUG
rnacentral:rRNA from 1 species